GUAGAGCUGGUAGCUGGUCCACCCUGGACUGAGGGUGGCCCAGCCUAGGCCCCUGGGCAUUUCCAGGGCACACCUAGAGGGAGCAGCCAUAGCCCUGGCUACUCAGGAACAGAGAACACAGAGUGACGGGGGUGGGUGACAGAGAGGCCCAAAUUCCUGAAACACAGUCAGCUGAGCCCACCAUAGAUGGAUGUCCAGGAGCAUCCUCUUGUCUGCCCACUAGAAUCUUGUCACCCUUCUCCUCUCCCAAGCCAGUCCCGCCCUUUGCCCUGUCGUUAAGGAAAAGUGUCGUCCAAGGUCCCCUCCACAGCAGUGUCUGGCCCAUCGCCCCUGCACCAGCUCCCAACUCCUCCUUCUGCAGCUCUGGAUCUCUGGGAGCCCCGGUGCCCUCUCCAUGCCUGCGUCUCUCCAGGGCGGCUCCCGGCUCCAGCGGCCCUCUUGGGUGCUGCCCUUUAUCCAUCCUCCCAACAGACCAGGCGCCUCCCGCAGCGUGUCUGCCUCACCUCCCUCCUGCAUGUGCUCCUGGCGCUGGGGCUGGUACCUGGGACCCCUCUAAGUCCGUCCUUGUUGGGUGCCCAUGUUCACCAGCAUGGCAGGGUGGGAAGACAGAGGGUUUGGAGUUUGAAUCCAGCCCGUGGCUUCCUGAGGCAGUGACUCGCAGCCUCUGGCAGGUUGGGUGGGAGGGCUAUGUGGAUGUCACGUGUCAGGACGUGGUUGCUGCCCUCCUUCUGAUCUGAGCUGCUUUUUAUCUGUCUGUUUCUUGACAGUCCUCGCAGUCCUCCUCCCCUAGUUCAGGCCCUCAUCCUAUUGGUUGCAAGUGACAGAAAAUUCAAACUAGGUUAAGUGGGAAAAAAAAAAAGAGAAAGAAGAAAAAAGAAAGGGUGAGGGGCAUUUGUGGUUCACGGUUGGGAUGGAGACGAGCUUCCGUGCAGUUCAGACACCAGAAGCCGGUGCUGACCCCGCUGUUCACUCCUGGCACCCAGAUGUCCUGUGUUUCUCCUCGUGGUGGUGUGGGGCUGCAGCAGCUCUGCCCUUGCAGCCGUGUCUUCUCCAUCAGCCCUAGAAGAAGGCUCACCUUGGGAACACCUUAGUUCCCACCCAUCCCUGACCAGUCACUGAAGCCAGGAGAUGCAAUGCAGUGUUAGGGUUAGGCAAAGGAAGAGUGUGGAGGAAAGGUGGUCACCCUGCAGGAAAUCUGGGGUGCUGCUACCGUAGGAAUGGAGAGUGGCUGCUGGGUGACUGUCUUCCGAUAGUUCAUAAAAUGGUCUCUAGGCUCCCCCAGCUCCAUAGCGGGGGAGCACUGCCAGUUUUCUGGUGCAGGUUGUAUAUUAUCCACCUCAGUCCUCAGAAGUCUCAGGAGACCCCUGGGAUGGCAGAAUCCAGUCCAAACUCCCUUGCCAUGCCUUCUAGACACUAUUGUUCAGCUCAAAAAAAAAAAAAAUGUUUCAGGCCCUUUGCUUCUCUUCUGUCUCUUCUUUUUCCCCCUCCUUCAUUCACUCCUAUCCCUCUUCUUGUCCUCUAUAAAUCUACAGCACUCUCACACUCCAUUUCCUUGGAACAUACCCAAGAGAACUGAAAACAGGUGUUCACACAAAAACAUAUACAGAGGUGUCUGAUAUUCACAACAGCCAGCAAGUGGAAACAACCUCAGGGUCUGUCCAUGGAUGAAUGAAAGAGUGAAUGAAAUACAGUUUGGCCAACAGUAAAGUAUCAUACAGCCCUGAAAAAUGAAAAAAAGUACUAUCACAUGUUACUUCAAGAAUGGACCUUGAAAAUAUGCUAAAUGAAAGAAAUCAGAAAGGACCCUGUUUGAGUGAUUCCAUUUAGAUUAAAUGCCUGGAGUAGGUGAAUAGUUAAAGAAAGUAGAUUAGUAGUUGCCAGGGCCUGGGGCAAGGGGAGUGAGGAGUGACUGCUAUUGGGUAUGGGUUUCUUCUUGGAGUGAGAAAAACAUUCUUGAAGAAUGUAGUAGAGAUAUUUGCACAACAUUGUGGAUAAAGUGAAAAAUCAC
rnacentral:lncRNA from 1 species